rnacentral:rRNA from 1 species
CACGCAGGCGGUUUGCUCAGUCCCAUGUGAAAGCCCGGGGCUCAACCCCGGAAAUGCAUAGGAUACUGGCAGACUGGAGACAGGUGGAGGCUAGCGGAAUUCCUGGUGUAGCGGUGGAAUGCGUAGAUAUCAGGAAGAACACCUGUGGCGAAGGCGGCUAGCUGGGCCUGUUCUGACGCUCAUGUGCGAAAGCGUGGGGAGCAAACA